GUAUAUUAGUUCAAAUCCCAGGAGCAAAAUAAAGCCCUGGGCAAACUAGGCAACCGAUUGUUGUGGAAACAUUUGUGAUUCUCGAUGUUUCCUCAAAUGACAAAUGUUUCCCUGUUUGCCCACCCGUGGAACUGAACAUUGUUGCGGAAACAAAUGUUUCCCGUGAAGUGUUUCUCAGCGAAUUCAGAAACAUUUGAUGUUUCCCUGUCUACCCACUCUGGG